CCAAUAGCGUAUAUUAAAGUUGUUGCAGUUAAAAAGCUCGUAGUUGAAUUUCGGGGUUAGUAGGUUGGUCAUGCCACUGGUAUGUACUGGUCUCACUGAUUCCUCCUUCCUGAUGAGCCGUAAUGCCAUUAAUUUGGUGUUGCGAGGAAUCGGGACUGUUACUUUGAAAAAAUUAGAGUGUUUAAAGCAGGCUAACGCUUGAAUACAUUAGCAUGGAAUAAUGAAAUAGGACGUUCGAUCUUAUUUUGUUGGUUUCUAAGAUUGACGUAAUGAUUAAUAGGGAUAGUUGGGGGCAUUAGUAUUCAAUUGUCAGAGGUGAAAUUCUUGGAUUUAUUGAAGACUAACUACUGCGAAAGCAUUUGCCAAGGAUGUUUUCAUUAAUCAAGAACGAAAGUUAGGGGAUCGAAGACGAUCAGAUACCGUCGUAGUCUUAACCAUAAACUAUGCCGACUAGGGAUCGGAUGAUGUUAAUUUUUUAAUGACUCAUUCGGCGCCUUACG
rnacentral:rRNA from 1 species